rnacentral:rRNA from 1 species
UACGUAGGGUGCAAGCGUUGCCCGGAUUUAUUGGGCGUAAAGGGCGCGUAGGCGGCUCUGCACGUCCGUUGUGAAAUCGCCCGGCUCAACUGGGCGGGGUCAGCGGAUACGGCAGAGCUUGAGCAAGCUAGGGGGCAAUGGAAUUCCCGGUGUAGUGGUGGAAUGCGUAGAUAUCGGGAGGAACACCAGUGGCGAAGGCGGUUGCCUGGGGCUUUGCUGACGCUGAUGCGCGAAAGCGUGGGGAGCGAACAGG